UGUUAAAAAUUUCAUUCAUUUCUAUUGUUAAAACUAGCAUGGUUGACGUAAUAACCAUACAGUAAAACGCGGUAAGCUACGUGUAUAUUAUGCCGGUGUACAAGGACCAAUAUUUAACAGUAAAAAUGAAUAAAAUUUUUAAUA
rfam:Gossypium arboreum cultivar AKA8401 contig_59_11, whole genome shotgun sequence.